ACAUUAUUUAAAUGUACUGAUGAUAAAAACCUAAAGUUAAUAAAUAAUAAUAAUAAUAAAAAUAUUAAUAUGUAUUUUAUUUUAUCCUAUUUUAUUUUAUCAAGAGGGCUCUGUGCAGCAAGGUUGAACUAAAAAUCCAGAUACACAAUCAAGAUAAGGAUGCAGAGAACCAAAUUCAGUUAUUUGUAACUUUCCCACACACAAUUCUCUCCCUGUUUUGUUUGAUGUUUUCUGGGUUGUUCCUAUUUUAUUAAUUCAUUAGUUAAUCCUCAUCACCAUGCCAUGGAUUUCCCCACAGGUUCAUUUCCAGUCAUUUCAUCAUUACCUCAGAUUCAGCACUUACAUAACACACCUCUUUACGUUCAUGUUUCAGGUCAACACACAUACUGUAGCCAACAGGCGCAUUGAUGGAGUGGAAUGAGCGUGACAAAGUCAGUGUAUAUUAACUAUAGUCACUGCAACAUACCGCAUAGUGCUCUAAUAGGGCGUUGGACAGGGAUGCAUGGCUGAAAUGUGAUCUAUGGGCCAAAGGAGAUUAAAGGUUCAUGGAUGUAUUCAGCUGACACUCUCCUCCUUACAGGUGCUAUGGUAGAACUUGACUUAAUAGUUUACCCUUCUGCUGGUCAGCCUGGACUUACGUGGGUUAAUAUUCGUCAUGCAUUUACUGGAAGACAACAAAAGGAUGCAAUGACUUCAUCAUCUACAUAUUCUGCCUUUGUCAAUAAAUAUACUAGGUGCAAAUAAAAAUUCAGAAAUCUUUCCGCCACUUGAAGACAUUGACAGAUUGUGUUUCAUAAAGUCACAAUCAAACAAAGACAGACUGACUCCAUUCCAAUAAUAACAUCUGACCUAUGAAGAGAAAAAUGGAUCAGCAGCCUGGUAGAAGAUGCACAGAAGGCCUAGGUAGCCUCAGAUAGAAAUUUGAAAUACUGCAUGUUCCAACUUAUUGUUACAGAAAAGUCUUAAGCAGCCUGAUUUGGACAACAGGAUAUAACUGGCAAAACUGAAUAUUUUAAUAAUUCAAAAUGGAAGAUUUUAAUAAUUCAUGUUCAGAAAAACUGUUAUUUCUUUGCCUUAUUAAAUCUAUGAAACAAAAAUAUAUAAUAUUAUUAUAUAAAGACUGUAAAAAGAUUUAAAUGUAAAUUAUU